rnacentral:rRNA from 1 species
UACGGGGGGAGCAAGCGUUGUUCGGAUUUACUGGGCGUAAAGGGCGCGUAGGCGGUCAGCACAAGUCAGUUGUGAAAUCUCCGGGCUUAACUCGGAAAGGUCAACUGAUACUGUGCGACUAGAGUGCGGAAGGGGCAACUGGAAUUCUCGGUGUAGCGGUGAAAUGCGUAGAUAUCGAGAGGAACACCGGUGGCGAAGGCGGGUCUCUGGGCCGUAACUGACGCUGAGGAGCGAAAGCGUGGGGAGCGAACAGG